rnacentral:rRNA from 1 species
AUUGAACGCUGGCGGCAGGCCUAACACAUGCAAGUCGAGCGGAUGAGGGGUGCUUGCACCCUGAUUCAGCGGCGGACGGGUGAGUAAUGCCUAGGAAUCUGCCCGAUAGUGGGGGACAACGUUUCGAAAGGAACGCUAAUACCGCAUACGUCCUACGGGAGAAAGUGGGGGAUCUUCGGACCUCACGCUAUCGGAUGAGCCUAGGUCGGAUUAGCUAGUUGGUGAGGUAAUGGCUCACCAAGGCUACGAUCCGUAACUGGUCUGGGAGGAUGAUCAGUCACACUGAAACGGAGACACGGGCCAGACUCCUACGGGAGGCAGCAGUGGGGAAUAUUGGACAAUGGGCGAAAGCCUGAUCCAGCCAUGCCGCGUGUGUGAAGAAGGUCUUCGGAUUGUAAAGCACUUUAAGUUGGGAGGAAGGGCUGUAGGCUAAUAUCCUGCAGUUUUGACGUUACCAACAGAAUAAGCACCGGCUAACUUCGUGCCAGCCGCCGCCGUAA